UGAGUAACCUGCCCUUCACUCUGGGAUAACUCCGGGAAACCGGGGCUAAUACUGGAUAUGACUCGAACAGGCAUCUGUUUCGGGUGGAAAGAUUUAUUGGUGGAGGAUGGACUCGCGGCCUAUCAGCUUGUUGGUGAGGUAAUGGCUCACCAAGGCGACGACGGGUAGCCGGCUGAGAGGGCGAUCGGCCACACUGGGACUGAGACACGGCCCAGACUCCGUACGGGAGCA
rnacentral:rRNA from 1 species